rnacentral:pre_miRNA from 1 species
CAGUUACUCCCUCCGUUCCAAAUUACUCGUCGCAGAAAUGGAUGUAUCUAGAACUAAAAUACAUCUAGAUACAUCCAUACCUGCGACAAGUAAUUCGGAACGGAGGGAGUAUUUU